UCACGAUCGCCAUUUUUGCUCCUAUCAGCUGCCUCGCUUCCCCGCCCUUCUACCGGACCUUUCCGGCAUCCGAAGAGAGACCACGCGGUCUAACUCCUCCGCCUGUCGUUGCUCCUCGGCGGAUACUCGACCCUGCAUUUCCCCCCUCCUCGCCCCCGCUGAUCGUCGCUCCCGAUUCCCGUGUCCCCGCCGCGGGCCCCGCGUACCCCAGGCCUCCUCUGCCAAUCUCCACGACGUCGCCACUCGACCCGAGGGGAUCGAUUCGAUUGGAAUCAUAGAAGGCGAUUUGGUUGCCUCGGACUGGAUCGUGCGCCUUCGUGAGAGGAAUUUUUAGCGGUUGUUCGGUUUCUUGAGCCGGAGAUUCGACGGCUCCAAUGCAGCAAGAUGAUCAACCUGCUGCGUCGGAAUCGUCUGACUUCCCUCAGGCGGUCGGUCGCCUCGGUUGCUCUCGAGCAGCCGCCAGAGGAGCCCCUGAAUCAGCACUCGCCGCUUCUGCCGUUGUCAUCUCCAUUGCCCAUGUGAGUUCAUUUUAAUUCCUGAAUUAAUUUGGAGUUAAUAUCUCCUAAAACAUAAGACUGCGUUUGUGUGCUGAUGCCAACAUCUAUAUUGUCUGUCUUCUGAGUAUCUGUUCUUGAGGGUUUAUAUGAUUUCUUCUAGUUUGUAAUUGUUUCCUCCUUCUGUGAUGGAAUAGUUUAUGUAUGGUGUCAUUGUUGCGAUGCCCUUUUUGUUAAAAUUUGAAUAGUCAAGAACAUUCCUCGUUUAAUUUAUGUUUUUCUUUGUCUCAGCGGAUGAUGGCACUAAAAGCUUAUUAUAUUCGAAAAGAAAAGAAUUCCUGCCGAAAUGAUUUUUUUGGAAUUAGUUAGAAUCCACAAUAGAUUAAAUUUGUCGAAAAUGUGAUUCCUGUGGGAGAAUUGUAGUUCAAAAAUUAUGACGAGAAAUUAUUCACAGCUGAUGCAAUAUCUUAUUGUGUUACUUCAACUAUAAAUCUGUACUUCUAAAAUACUUAGCAUUUUUUUUUUCUGCUUUCAAGUCAGACUUCUGCUUCUUUAUUAGUGUUUAGGGAUGCAUAUUUGUUGGGUUUGAAUUUGAAAGACGCAAUAGUUAUCACUGGGUUAUGUUGGUCGGCUAGGACUGCAAUGCUAUGAUGUUCAGCCUAAGAGUGGCCUUACCAAGUCUCCAACAUAUUGCUUUAAGUUAUGUUUAGAGAGUUCCAUUUAAACCUUUCGCUUGAAUUGUUCAAAGAUGCAUUCUGAACUGGGUUCAACCUUCUUUCAUCGAUCUGAUUAUACUUUUGGCUUUUAUGCAUCUUAAUUCAGUAAUAUUCAAUAAAGUGAAUGACUUUAUUGAAUAAUUCAGUAAUAUUCAAUAAACUGCACAAACUGCUAUAACAAUGCUGAGAAUGAAGCUGCUAGGCAUGAUGCUGUUGAAGUUAUUCUAGAGUGCAGUCCUAGUGCCUUCAGUCCUAAGAUUGGCAGUAGCCCAUAUGCGACUAUGGAUCGUAAGGUAUGUCUGCAUUCUUAUGUUGAAACACAUUAGCCUUACCUGGCUGCUUUAUUUCACAAGAUAGGAAAGAAUUGACUAGGCCAGAACAUAUGUAUACAUCGUAAAUGGUUCCUCUCAGUUCAUCUCUCCUACAUCGGUAAAGGAUCAGUCUAUUCACAGGCUUGCAGAACUGCCACAGGUGAUUUUUUGCCUUUUUUCCUUCAACUUCCAAAGUGCUUUUAGGUUUGCAAACAGGCAGAAAAGGCUGGCUUAUUUGUUUUUUCCUGGUUUCUUUCUUAAAUGCUCCUUUUUUGUGACCCUAAUCAAUGAUGAAGAAUCACAACAAAUUAUUGCCAGUCUUUUUUCUAUGUUCAGUAUGCGUUCUCAAUAGAUAUUAAAUUUGUAAUUUGAAGUAUUGUCAAUAUUAUCAUCUAUUACUUUUUGCUAAAUACCCAAUGAUUAUCAGGUUGGUUACCUGAAAACUUCAGGACCAGCUCCUGUUUCUGCUCAUGUGAACCACACUCUUAAUCCUGCUCCGUUGGCCCCUACUAAAUUCUCUUACAGGUCUCUUCUAGCAGAUGUGGUCCGACCGGUACACAUAAGUGAUCUCUGCCAGCUUCUGGUGGUUGUAUCUGAACAGGCUGCUAAAACAUUAGCUGAUAAAAAAGUUCAAGAGGAGCUGGUUGAAAAGGAAGGUCAAGUCGAAAGCUCUCUCUCUUCCACGAUUUGUGAUAAUGAUCAGAGACCAAAAGAUCCAAAUAUUCAGCUGACAUCGGCUGAUGAUCGUUCACAUCGGCUUGCUGUAGACAAUAUUAAAGCAGAAGGGUCUGAAUCUGCCUGUGAGGAUGGACACAAAAGGCCGAGGCCAGAGUCUCCAGGAACACAGGCCUUAAUGUGUGAUGAGCAAGACACAAUGAUUAUGACGUCCCGAAAUGCUGGUACAUCAGCAUUUGUCGCAACCAGCAUGUACCAGAGGUCUAUGCAGAGCAAGAAAGAGCUCCAUUGCCGGGAAAUCCGAAGCGAUCUGAUCUCCAGGGAAGAUCUAUGAAUGAUAUUGCUAGAGCUCCAACGACACUUGAUGCAGAGCCAGUUCCUGCUGAUUCCAACAAGCAACAACCGGCAGGAUGGCCAACCACAAGAAACGGAGACACUGGGCACAAGCUUGAGGAUUCAAAGUUGUAAAGAGAAGGUACAGCAAUCAUCAGAUAACACUAAUGAGAUUUUGGUAGGGUGUUUAUAUCAAGAACUUGAAUCUUGAAUCCUCAGCUCUCUUCUUUUUCUUUUUCUUGAGAUGGAAAGCUCUCUUCUUUUACCCUUUAAGAAAAAUUUUUGCUUAAGAUGUGAUCAGGAUUAUGAUAUCAUGCUGGCAAU